rnacentral:rRNA from 1 species
GACGGAGGAUGCAAGUGUUAUCCGGAAUCACUGGGCGUAAAGCGUCUGUAGGUGGUUUAAUAAGUCAACCGUUAAAUCUUGAGGCUCAACCUCAAAAUCGCAGUCGAAACUAUUAGACUAGAGUAUAGUAGGGGUAAAGGGAAUUUCCAGUGGAGCGGUGAAAUGCGUAGAGAUUGGAAAGAACACCGAUGGCGAAGGCACUUUACUGGGCUAUUACUAACACUCAGAGACGAAAGCUAGGGUAGCAAAUGGG